rnacentral:tRNA from 1 species
GGGUAGGUACUCAAGUGGUCAACGAGGACAGACUGUAAAUCUGUUGCGCUUGCGCUCCGGAGGUUCGAAUCCUCCCCUGCCCA